GAUAUUCUUCACCCAAUUUAACACAUAAAAAUAAAAUUUAACUCCAUCUCUCUCUCUCUUCUCUCAAGGAUUAAACCAGCAGCGAUAAAGUUUUCUAGGGUUCUUGAAGAAACCCUUAUAUCUGCAAACCAAAUGUGAAAGGAAGCUGAAGUUCUAAAAGAAUUCAAGUUAUAAGGAGAAGUUGCAGAAAUUGAGGGCAUGUGAUACAAGUGACCAGCUGAUUGGUGGAAGAAGAAGAUGACCCAUGCUAGGCCUUUUAACCCAGGGAUGUGGUCCUCAUAAUUACACCAUUUGCGAUUGGCCCAUGCUACCCUGAGAUGCCACCCUUCUAUACCAUUAGGGAUUGACCCAUGCUAUGCUUUCGCUCCUGAGUUGCCACCAUUAUGUUGGGAUCGACCCAUGAUAGGCAUUUGCCUCUGGGAUGCCACCUGUAAUUAUACAGAUUGCUUCACUUAGAUUCCUUAAUCUUUGAGAUUGUUGUUUAUCAAUUCAUAACUCUUUUGAGAUUGUUGUUUUGGUGGUCAUAUCAUUUUUGACAAAUGGAGAUACAUACCAGUGGUAGAAGACAUGAAAACAAUACUUCAAGGAUGUAACAAUGACAGAAGGAGCUAUGUAACAUCAACACAUUACUUGUGAGCUUAAUGACACAAUUGACUUCAAUUGACUAAGAGAAGGAUUCACCAAACUUUCUUUUGCAAAUAACAUUUCUAUACAAGCACAAGGGGGAUACUUACACAAGUAUAGAGUAGUGAACAUAUAAUGAAGCAGUUCUAUGAACUAAUAAGGAGAGGAGAAAUAUAUUUAGCUAUUUGGAGUUAAUACGUGGCCAUUGUUUCCUUUACUAGGAAUAGAACAUAGGAGAUUCACUUCAUUGAUACUAAUUACAAGUGUGAGAUUUCAUGCCAAGGAAUAUGGAAUCGAAUAGCCUUACAUACCUUAUUUUCUGACCAAUACCACUAUUGUCAGCCCCAACCCUAGGUGAGGCGGACAAGUACCUUAUUAGCACAUGCUUUACAAGUAAUCUAUGAUGAGAAAGUAAACUACUAUGCAGACUACCGAUGAGAAGCUUCAUAUACAACACAUUUUGACUAGCUAAACCGCUAUAUACGACAAGAGAAACUAUGAAUACAAAUAAUAACUUUACAAUGUCUACAAAGCCUCUACUGGAAGCCAUGAUGGUACCAUUAUUAAAAUACACAUAGUAAAGACUCGGCAAAGCCCCGAAUCAACCUGGAGCUUACCAACAUCCACUGAGUACAAUGUGCUUCUAUAGGAAAGAUCUACUAGUUGAGUACUUGUACCAGCAACAUGAAAUGCAGCGUCCCCAAUAAGGGACGUCAGUACAAAAGAAUGUACUUAAUAUGUAAGGAAGAAUACAACCAUAUUUAACAUGAGAGGUCAAGUGAAACCAAAUACCAAUAGAUAAGGAUUAGAGACCACCUUUGCUUUGUAGUUGUGGAAUCAUGCAUGUUACAUUCUUUUCUCUAUUUUUCUGUACUUUAUAAUCCUUAUGAUAUAAAAUGACCAGCUGAUCAGUGGGAGAAGAGGAUGACACAUGCUAGGCAUUUUAACCCUUGGGAUGUUGUCCUUAUAAUUCCACUAAUUAGGAUCAACCCAUGCUAGGCUUUUGCCCCUGAGAUGCCACCCUUUCAUACCAAUUGGGAUCGGCCCAUGAUAGGCUUUCGCCCCUGAGUUGGCACCCUUUAAUACAAUAAAGGAUCGGACCAUGCUAUGCUUUUGCCCCUGAGCUGCCACCCAUAAUCAUACAGAUUACUUCACUUAGAUUCUUUCAUCUUUGAGAUUGUUGUCUAUCAGUUCAUAACUAUUUUGGGAUUGUUCUUUAGAUAAUUAUAACUCAUUUGAGAUUGUUCUUUUUGAUGUCUAUAACUUUUUUGUGAUUAUUGUUAUGGUGGUGAGAGUCCUUGUUUAGAUUUGGAACUACGGAUGAGUAGUAGAAGACAUAUGAAUAUGGACAUACGAUAGUAACAAUGACAUGGGAAGCAAAUGUAACUUGAACGUAGUACUUAGGAGCAUAUAUGACUCGGUAUGCAUUUUGACAUCUCAAUUUAAGCACAUCUAGUGAAGACAAUUUAACAUUCAGACAAUAGAUUUGGACUCUAUAUGAUACUAAUACAAGGUGUUUAUGAAUAUGGAACCAAGGGGAAAAAAAUAUGGGCAGAUUAAACUUAAGGACGGAUACAUAUUCCUAGUAAGUACAUAUAAAUGUACAAUUGAGCAAGUAGUGAUCCUGUGAGGUAACAUUAUAGUCUAACACAAUGGGAGUAAUAACAAAGAAAGGGAACAGAUGAACGUGUUAUAAGUAGACAUGUCUAUAAACAAUUAAAGCAAGUUGGAAUGAUAUGGGCAGAUCAUAUAUCCAUCCAAUAAACAUAUGUACAUGUGUAAUAUAGGAUCACUUUGACUUAUAUAUGAAAAAUAUGUGCUAGGAGUACUUUGACAAUGAAACAAGUUUAAACCUUGCAUGCAAACACUUGGUAGAGUAAACACACACAUUUAAUAACAAACUCAUAUUAGAUUACCCACUUUAAUGCUCUAAGGAGUAGGAACUAAAACUAUGGAUCAGUCACUACCAAAGGCACUUAGAAAGCUUACUUUUUGUAAUGCAAUUUUCUGAUUCAUGCCAAAGAAAUAGGAAAUGAAAUAGCCUUACAUGCCUUGCUAUACAAUUCAAAACGUAUGACUUGAACUCCUUCUCUUCAGAUCACUAAUCUACAAUAAAAUAAGUUGUAAGACUAGUAUUAGUAGCUAAUCAAUAAAUUUGAGCCACUUGAUCACACCCAAAUAGUAACGAAUCAGUAAGCUGCAAUCAUCUAGCGAGUGUUUUCUUUCCUUCCCCAUCCCUUUAAUCGCGUCUAUAUACUAUACAACCUUCGUAUCAGGUCCUCCCCAAAACUCCCUGCAAUAUUUAAGUCCUUUAAUGUCUCCAUAACUUCCCCGCACAUCCAGUCACAUCCCUUAUCAUAACAUACAUAAAACAAUCUUUGAGCAUAAUAAUGUAAUAGAAGAAGCAACAUAAAUAAUGGUUUCUGAUCACCAGCACUUGAAGAGCUAACAUUACUUUUAAUGUUCUCAAACAAGCUCAUAGCUUAAUUUAAAGAGAACUCCCCACCAUAGCUGUCCCAAUAUGCACUAAUCACCAGAACAUCCUCCCCAAUAUUCACCAUGUAAAAGUAACAAUUUCCAACUCACUAACACAUACCAAAUGUCCUAGUUAACUCAAGCACAAGAGGGAGAAAAUUGCAGUAGCUUACCUUGCUGGACAUAAAUACCACUUGCUAAGAUUUGGAUUCUUCAAGGUAAAGGUUGUCCUCCUUAAAUUGUCUUAAAUUAUACCUUCCAAUAGCUUGAAAUACCUAUUAUUAAAGAACCCUAAUGAUAUUUAAUGGUUGUUGUAUGAAUCUAAGAGAGAGAAGAGAGAAAUCUCGAGUAAUCAGAUUUUUUGACAAAGUAAAAACGGUUAGAAAAAGCUGAUAUCAAUCUCUUUUAAAGGGACUUGCUUUGGCCGAUUUUGUCACUCAUUUUGGGCCAUAAUUUUUCAAGUAAGUUACCCACCUACUUGUACUUUUCAUUUGGACUUUUUGGACUUAAGAACAUUGGCCCUUUUGCCACGUUUCUUGUACUUCAUUUACAGCCAACACAUGUCUUUAAUUUGGGCCACACCUUUAAGUAGGUGGUGCACCUUGUUUUCCACUAAAAUUAUUUCUUGUGGGCUUGAGAAGAUUGGACCUUGGAUGUUCAUUUUCCCCUUAUUCUUCUAUUCAACUUUGGCUAAAUUAAUGCAAAUAGGUGUAGUUUACUUGUCUCAAUAACACAGUCAAAAGAGUCUUAGUAGGUGAUGCACCUACUUGGUCCUUUGGGCUGGUCAAUAAGUCAAAGUAGGUGAUUCACCUACUUGGUCCUUUGGGAUGGUCAAUAAGUCAAUGUAGGUGAUAAACCUACUUCUCACAUACUAGCUUAGUGAAGUCAAGCAAGCACCUCAAUAUUUUGUUCCAUUUCAAGACCUUAAUAACUUCACCAUAACUUAGAACUUAUAUACACUAUGUAACUUUAUACUUUAGACUCAAAUAAAACCGUGUGAUCUCAUGUUUAAAUACUUCCAUCGACAUCAACUUAAUUGGGUCGCACCAAAAUUUCUGGACAGUUCACUAUAAACCUUAUUUAUUGCCAAAUCACAUAGGAAACCGAAUUCAUAACUAUACCACAAGGCAGUUUAUAAGCAUUAUAUAAAUAGAACUAGUACAUAUA